rnacentral:rRNA from 1 species
AUUGAACGCUGGCGGCAGGCUUAACACAUGCAAGUCGAGCGGGGUGAUGGUGCUUGCACUAUCACUUAGCGGCGGACGGGUGAGUAAUGCUUAGGAAUCUGCCUAUUAGUGGGGGACAACAUCUCGAAAGGGAUGCUAAUACCGCAUACGUCCUACGGGAGAAAGCAGGGGAUCACUUGUGACCUUGCGCUAAUAGAUGAGCCUAAGUCGGAUUAGCUAGUUGGUGGGGUAAAGGCCUACCAAGGCGACGAUCUGUAGCGGGUCUGAGAGGAUGAUCCGCCACACUGGGACUGAGACACGGCCCAGACUCCUACGGGAGGCAGCAGUGGGGAAUAUUGGACAAUGGGGGGAACCCUGAUCCAGCCAUGCCGCGUGUGUGAAGAAGGCCUUGUGGUUGUAAAGCACUUUAAGCGAGGAGGAGGCUCUUUUGGUUAAUACCCAAGAUGAGUGGACGUUACUCGCAGAAUAAGCACCGGCUAACUCUGUGCCAGCCGCCGCGGUAAAAC